CCUACGGGAGGCAGCAGUGAGGAAUAUUGGUCAAUGGACGAGAGUCUGAACCAGCCAAGUAGCGUGAAGGAUGACUGCCCUAUGGGUUGUAAACUUCUUUUAUAUGGGAAUAAAAUGUUCCACGUGUGGGAUUUUGUAUGUACCAUAUGAAUAAGGAUCGGCUCACUCCGUGCCAGCAGCCGCGGUAAUACGGAGGAUCCGAGCGUUAUCCGGAUUUCUUGGGUUUAAAGGGAGCGUAGGUGGAUUGUUAAGUCAGUUGUGAAAGUUUGCGGCUCAACCGUAAAAUUGCAGUUGAAACUGGCAGUCUUGAGGACAGUAGAGGGGGGCAGAAUUCGUGGUGGAGCGGUGAAAUGCUUAGAUAUCACGAAGAACUCCGAUUGCGAAGGCAGCUCACUGGACUGCAACUGACACUGAGGCGCGAAAGUGUGGGUAUCAAACAGGAUUAGAUACCCCUGUAGUC
rnacentral:rRNA from 1 species